AAGGACAUAUAGUUACAAACUAUCAUGUUGUUGGCAACGCUCUUUCAAGAAAUCCUGCCCCUGGUCAAGUUGUUGCCCGAGUCAAUAUUCUUGCGUCUGAUGGGGUGCAAAAGAACUUUGAGGGCAAGCUAAUUGGUGCAGACCGUGACAAAGAUCUCGCCGUUUUACAGGU